rfam:Cavia porcellus supercont2_38 genomic scaffold, whole genome shotgun sequence.
AUAAAGGCCCUUUUUAGGGCCACCCACAAAGUCACACAAAGAGCUG